CACGUAGGGCGCAAGCGUUGUCCGGAAUUAUUGGGCGUAAAGAGCUCGUAGGCGGCCUGUUGCGUCCGCUGUGAAAGCCCGGGGCUUAACCCCGGGUCUGCAGUGGAUACGGGCAGGCUAGAGGUAGGUAGGGGAGAAUGGAAUUCCCGGUGUGGCGGUGAAAUGCGCAGAUAUCGGGAGGAACACCGGUGGCGAAGGCGGUUCUCUGGGCCUUACCUGACGCUGAGGAGCGAAAGCGUGGGGAGCGAACAGG
rnacentral:rRNA from 1 species